ACCCAAUAGAUACCCAGGUAGUCCACGCUGUAAACGAUGGGUACUAGGCUUGGUGGGUCUUGACCCCUGCUGAGCCGGAGCUAAACGCAAUAAGUACCCCGCCUGGGAAGUACGGUCGCAAGACUAAAACUCAAAGGAAUUGACGGGGGCCCGCACAAGCGGUGGAUCAUGUGGUUUAAUUCGAAGCAACGCGAAGAACCUUACCUGGGUUUGACAUCCUCGGACAUCCGUAGAGAUACGGCCUCGUAGCAAUACGACCGGGAGACAGGUGCUGCAUGGCUGUCGUCAGCUCGUGUGGUGACAUGUU
rnacentral:rRNA from 1 species